UGUUCCUAAACAAUACCGUUCGCGCAGACCGUUGUUGCUAUGGUUACCUCCUGACGAAUACAAUUUUUGUUUACCUCCGAGUUAUGCAGCUACGCCCCUUUUCAGCGCCACGUUUGUUGUCUUCCGUCUUCCAGGUUGUAUUUCCACAACAUGAAGAGGUGAAGGUGAGCAAUGGUGAAGCAAUGGGUGAGGAUACGGUGCUGGUGUCUUGGAAGGUGAGAUGAACCGAGAGGUGGUGGCUUGAGAUGAUGGAGGAAGGUGACACACACACACACACGAUGGGAACAGGAGGACAAUGGAGAUCGCUGGAGAGAGUGCUGGGGAGAUUGCAGGUAGAUGAGGAGCAGGUGAGUGUGAUCAGAUGAUUGGGAGGUGUACAGGUGCAGGAGAUGAGUGCGCUGAGGGUGAUGAACCUGACGUGUCUGUGACAGUACUCCCCCCUCCCGGAAGGCUCGUCCCGAGCCGUAACACUGGGGAGGGCGGGGUGGGCGCCCUGGAGGUUGGUGCCGGACGGGAACACGGUGGAGCAGAGGAGGACCUCCAGGGCGGAUCUGGCGACUCGGGAGGCCAUGGCGGACCUGGAGCCUCCGGAGGCCAUGGCGGAAAUGGAGCCUUGGGAGGCCCUGGCGGACCUGGAGCCUUGGGAGGCCCUGGCGGAAUGCAGCACAUAAAUCUGUUUAUAGUUGUUUAUAGUUGUUGGAAGCCAAAAUUGCAACUGAAAAUAAAAAUUGACACCCAGCCCUACAAUGUAUUACAAGUGACAUUAUUACCAGUGAAAAUUGAAAUAAAAUAUUGAU
ensembl:lncRNA